rnacentral:rRNA from 1 species
UACGAAGGGUGCAAGCGUUACUCGGAAUUACUGGGCGUAAAGCGUGCGUAGGCGGUUUGUUAAGUCUGUUGUGAAAGCCCCCGGCUCAACUGGGGAGGGUCACGCGAUACUGCUCGACUCGAAGGCAGGAGAGGGAAGUGGAAUUCCCGGUGUAGUGGUGAAAUGCGUAGAUAUCGGGAGGAACACCAGUGGCGAAGGCGACUUCCUGGCCUGUUCUUGACGCUGAGGCGCGAAAGCUAGGGUAGCAAACGGG